GAUGGGGGGACGCAGUAGGAUAGGCGAAGCGUGCUGUUGGAGUGCACGUCCAAGCAGUGAGAUUGAGUGUUAGGCAAAUCCGGCACUCUUAAGAUUGAGCUGUGAUGGGGAGAGGAACUUGUUCCUCGAGUCGUUGAUUUCACACUGCCGAGAAAAGCCUCUAGCUAGAAUAACGGUGCCCGUACCGCAAACCGACACAGGUAGUCAAGAUGAGAAUUCUAAGGUGAGCGAGCGAACUCUCGUUAAGGAACUCGGCAAAAUGACCCCGUAACUUCGGGAGAAGGGGUGCUCUUUGAGGUUCACGCUUCGAAGAGCCGCAGUGAAUAGGCCCAAGCGACUGUUUAUCAAAAACACAGGUCUCUGCUAAACCGUAAGGUGACGUAUAGGGGCUGACGCCUGCCCGGUGCUGGAAGGUUAAGAGGAGUGGUUAGCGCAAGCGAAGCUACGAAUCGAAGCCCCAGUAAACGGCGGCCGUAACUAUAACGGUCCUAAGGUAGCGAAAUUCCUUGUCGGGUAAGUUCCGACCCGCACGAAAGGCGUAACGAUUUGGGCACUGUCUCAACGAGAGACUCGGUGAAAUCAUAGUACCGGUGAAGAUGCCGGUUACCCGCGACAGGACGGAAAGACCCCGUGGAGCUUUACUGUAGCCUGAUAUUGAAAUUCGGUACAGUUUGUACAGGAUAGGUAGGAGCCUUAGAAGCGUGAGCGCUAGCUUACGUGGAGGCAUUGGUGGGAUACUACCCUAAUUGUAUUGGAUUUCUAACCCGCAGCACUUAUCGUGCUGGGAGACAGUGUCAGGCGGGCAGUUUGACUGGGGCGGUCGCCUCCUAAAGAGUAACGGAGGCGCUCAAAGGUUCCCUCAGAAUGGUUGGAAAUCAUUCAUAGAGUGUAAAGGCAUAAGGGAGCUUGACUGCGAGACCUACAAGUCGAGCAGGGUCGAAAGACGGACUUAGUGAUCCGGUGGUUCCGCAUGGAAGGGCCAUCGCUCAACGGAUAAAAGCUACCCCGGGGAUAAC
rnacentral:rRNA from 1 species